AAAGUGCGACUGGAUCGGAUCG
rnacentral:miRNA from 1 species